rnacentral:snRNA from 1 species
AUAAAAACUCAGACACGAGAGUA